CCUACGGGGGGCAGCAGUGAGGAAUAUUGGUCAAUGGACGAGAGUCUGAACCAGCCAAGUAGCGUGAAGGAUGAAUGUCUUCUGGGUUGUAAACUUUUUUUAUAAAGGAGUAAAAGGAGGAAAGUGUGCCUUUUUGCAUGGACUUUAUGAAUAAGGAACGGCUACAUCUGUGCCAUGAGCGGCGGUAAUAAGGUGGAUACGAGCGUUAUCCGGAUUUAUGGGGUUUAAAGGGAGCGUAGAUGGGUUGUUAAGUCAGUUGUGAAAGCUUUCGGCUCAACCGUAAAAUUGCAUUUGAUACUGUGAGGCUUGAGUACAGUUGAGGUAGGCGGAAGUCGUGGUGUAGCGGUGAAAUGCGUAGAUAUCACGAAGAACACCAGUGGCGAAGGCAGCUUACUAACCUGUAACUGACAUUGAUGCUCGAAAGUGUGGGUAGCAAACAGGAUUAGAUACCCCUGUAGUC
rnacentral:rRNA from 1 species